GGGAAGGUGGCUCAGUGGUAGAGUGCUUGCCUUGCAUGCAUGAGGCACUGGUUCAAUUCCUCAGUGCCA
rfam:Dipodomys ordii contig_65047, whole genome shotgun sequence.